UACGUAGGCAGCGAGCGUUGUUCGGAGUUACUGGGCGUAAAGGGUGUGUAGGCGGUUGUUUAAGUUUGGUGUGAAAUCUCCCGGCUCAACUGGGAGGGUGCGCCGAAUACUGAAUGACUUCGAGUGCGGGAGAGGAGACUGGAAUUUACGGUGUAGCGGUGAAAUGCGUAGAUAUCGUAAGGAAGACCAGUGGCGAAGGCGGGUCUCUGGACAGUUCCUGACGCUGAGGCACGAAGGCCAGGGGAGCAAA
rnacentral:rRNA from 1 species